GAUAAUCUGCCCUUAGGUGGAGGAUAACCUCGGGAAACUGAGAAUAAGACUCCAUAGAUCUAGGAGGCUGGAAUGCACUUAGAUCAAAAACUUCGGUGCCUAAGGAUGAGUCUGCGGACUAUCAGGUAGUAGUCAGGGUAAUGACCUGACCAGCCUAUGACGGAUACGGGUUAUGAGAGCAAUAACCCGGAGAUGAUAUCUGAGACACGAUAUCAGGCCCUACGGGGCGCAGCAGGCGCGAAAACUUCACACUGUGCGAAAGCACGAUGAGGGAAUCCCAAGUGCUGGCUCGUAAGAGUCAGCUGUUUUUCUGUCUAGAAAACAGAGAGAGUAAGAGCUGGGUAAGACGGGUGCCAGCCGCCGCGGUAAUACCUGCAGCUCAAGUGGUGGCCGCUAUUAUUGGGCCUAAAACGUUCGUAGCCGGUCUAGUAAAUGCCUGGGUAAAUCAUACGGCUUAACCGUACGAAUUCCGGGUAGACUGCUGGACUUGGGACUGGGAGAGGCUAGAGGUACUCCUGGGGUAGAGGUGAAAUUCUGUAAUCCUAGGGGGACGACCAGUGGCGAAGGCGUCUAGCUAGAACAGGUCUGACGGUGAGGAACGAAGCCCUGGGGCGCAAACGGGAUUAGAUACCCCGGUAGUCCAGGGUGUAAACGCUGCUUGCUUGAUGUUAGUCGGGCUCCGAGCCCGAUUAGUGUCGGAGAGAAGUUGUUAAGCAAGCUGCCUGGGGAGUACGGCCGCAAGACUGAAACUUAAAGGAAUUGGCGGGGGAGCACCGCAACGGGUGGAGCGUGCGGUUUAAUUGGAUCAACGCCGGAA
rnacentral:rRNA from 1 species